rnacentral:misc_RNA from 1 species
AUCGGAUACCCGGUACAAGUAACUAGCAUGUUUGCUUAUGUCGGGUACCCGGUAUCAACGCACCUGCUCAGGUCAAACGCGGUGACACGCAGAUAUAUGGCAAUCGCUCCCUCCUCCCAGGCUCCUACUGUCUGCCUACUUGUGGGGUGGAAGUAGAGAUAAACGGGGCCCAUAGUUUUUCAUCGUCCAUGGAUUCCCAACAUUCCUUUCUUCACCUAACUGAAUUAAUAGAAAUUUGCACGCUCGAUAAUAUGGCGAUCGCUCAGGCUGCUUGUGAGAUGGACGCUGAGUUAAUUUUUCCAUCGUUCAUGGACUCCAAUUCCCAACAAACAGGUAGCAAUCCUCUUGCUAAACCUUGUGAACAAGCUGGGACCUCAUGGUCUGACAGUAACCCUAAUGUUUGGAGGAACACAACUCUGAAUGGAAAUUCUCUUUUUAGGCCUGUACCGAGGCAGGGGGGGCAGCAAACAGAUGAGAGCUUGUUUGGAGUUGCAGGACCUUGCGCACAAACUGGGACCUCUUCGUCUGGCCCUAUACCUUCAUCUUUGGGAUCUUCGGGAGGAAGUGCUUGGAGGUAAAGUAUGGGUUUUUAAAGUUGUGUGUUUGUUUGGGAGGAAGGUUUUUUAAAGGAGGUAAAGUUUUUGGAACUCCAAAAACCCCACUUUUUCCCUUUAUCUUCUAUUACCUUAUUUUAAAAAACCUCUAUCCACUUCAUCCAAACGUAGGCUUCAACCAUCAUUGCUUGGCAAUGCCAGUGAUGUAGUUAAGGCAUCUGGAACAGCAAAACCAGGUGAAAUUAUUUCAGCUCUUUAUAGGAAUACAACUCUGAACGGAAAUUCUCUUGUUAGGUCUGUUCCGACUAGCCAGGGGGGGCAGCAAACAAACAGGAGCUUGUAUGAAGGCGCCAAACAGCAGGACAACAUCACCACAUCAUCUACACUGAUACCCUCGCCUCAGCACAUUACAGGUAGUUAUCCUCUUGCUAAACCUUGCGAACAAGCGGGGACCUCAUCAUCUGGCCCUGCAACUUUAUCCUUGGAAGGAAGUGUAUCGAGGUCUGGAUCGACUAGCCAGGGAGGGCAGCAAACAAAUGGGAGCUUGUAUGGAGGUGUCUUUUUAUCUUGUUAAAUAUGUGUUUACUUCUGCAAGCAUGUACUUAGGUAUGCUGCUUAUUUUUAUUUCGCUGCCAAACAGCAGGACAGCGUCGCCACAGCAUCUGCACUGAUGUCCUAGCCUCAGCUCCAAAGAACAAAUUCCCUCUUCCGUUAACAUUGCAUCUCAAGCCCAUCCUUCCCACUUCACAUCCUUCCUUCUGUGACAGAUAGUUCUGCUACACAACCUUUCCACACCCCACUGCACAAUGAGUCCCCUCUAUCACAAAUCUUUUUUUCCCAAUAUUUAUAUCUUAGUCUGUUCCUCUAUUAGGGUCCUGCUGCAUCUGCACCGGUUCUGUUUGGAUUUGUUCCUCUUUAAAUUGCUUAGAUCUGUUUGGUUUAUAUAUACUCUGCACAUAUUUGGUUCUGUUUAUUUUUGGUUUAUGUAUAUACUCUGUUUAUGUUUGGGUUCUGUUGCCACUUUCCAAAUGAAUUUCUGAGAUCUAUUAAUCAUUGGGUCUUAUAGAGGAAUACAAGGGCUGUUAUGUUUAAGUUUGGUUUAUAUGUAUUUCUAGUCCUUUAUAGAGGAACACAUGUUUUGUUUAUGUUUUAUGUUUGUGGUUUGAGUUGAAAUCUAUAUUCUGCUUUAAUAUAGCGGAACACAUGUUUUAAGGGCUGAUAUUUAUAGUUUUGUUUAUGGUUGAAAUUUAUCGAGGAACACAUGUUUUAGCAUAGAUCUGUUUAUGGUUGAAAUUUUUAUUUUCUGUUUGUACCAUUGUUAUAUAUUCUGUUUAUAUAUAGCAGAAUUUUAGCAUUCUCUGAGUUGAAGUUAUGUUUUAACAUAUAUUUUUGUUCUUUAAAUUUAGGAUAUUUUCAGACAUCAACAGUUAAUAGUGUUGAAGCUGUAGAGAGUUGUAAAGAUGCUACUGUUUCUCAACCAUCUGAAACUACUCAGCGAUCUAGUAAUUCUGGUUUUGAUAAGUCAACGACACCAAUCAAUCCCUCCCAAUUUGUGCCAGCAAAUGUAGAGCCCACCUCUAGUCUUCCUCCAACUAGUCAAUUGGGAAAGAGAAGGAAGUUGACGUCGUCUGUUUGGGAUCAUUUUGAUAGAGUUAAUUGCAAUGGGAAUGAUUGGGCAAUUUGUCAUCAUUAUUUGUUCAUGUGCUAGCACCGCAUACUAAGGAAGAACUUGAAGGACAUUUGAUGGAUGCUUUUAGCAAGUGGGAUAUUUGGACAAAAAUUUCUACAAUCACUGUAGACAAUUACACCAAUGAUGGUAUGGUUCCUAUUAUUGAUGAUAAAUUGUACAGUGAUCUUUUAUGUGAUGGGCCUAUAUUGUGUACGAGGUAUUAUGUGCAUAUUUUGAAUCUUGCUAUAAAGGAUGGGUUAUCCAUUAUUGAGAAUUCACUUGUAAGAAUUAGGGCUACUGUAGCUUUUUGGUCAGACACUCCUCAACGAGUGAAAACAUUUGAAGAAAUGGCAAAAGAAUUGAAGAUUUCUUGUGAGAAAAAGUUGAGUUUAGAUUGUAGAACUCACUGGAAAUCAACAUAUUUGAUGCUUGAAACAGCAAUUGGAUAUAAGGAUGUCUUUCCUAGGUUGAGAAUUAGGGAAAAAAAUUAUACGAGCGUGCCUACUGAUGAUGAUUGGGAAAUGGCAAAAAUGGUUUUAGAAAAGUUAGAAACUAUUCGUAGCAUCUCUGAAAUAUCUGUUGGGAGUAAAUAUCCAACUUCCAACUGUUAUUUCGUUCCCAUUUGUCGUUUGAGAAGUUCAAUGGUGGAUUGGAUGAAGUCUGAUAAUGAGGUUAUAAAGGCCAUGUCUAGUAAAAUGUUUGAUUAUCUUCAGAAAUAUUGGAAGGUGGUUCGUGAUGUUUUGUCUAUAGCUGUCAUAUUGGAUCCUCGGUAUAAGAUGAGAGUGUUUGAAUACUUUUUUCCUAUGAUUUAUGGUGAUGAUGCAUCGAGUGAGAUUGAGCAAGCUAAAACAACUUGUUAUAAUUUGCUUAGCAGUUACCAAUGUCGAGUUUCCGAGCCAAAAUCUCAUUUCAUAUCUUUAGUUCCACCUAUUCCAAUGUUAGAAAGUCAAGGUUCUAUAAAGACAGAUUUGAGCAAUCUAGUUGCCUUUCUUAGCUCUUCCUCCAGCAGUGUUCAUGUGAAAUCUGAAUUAAAUUAUUAUCUUGAGGAGAGUCUUUUUCCAUGCGUGCAAGAUUUUGACUUUGAUAUUUUUAAUUGGUGGAAGGCAAAUGGGAUAAAAUAUCCCACAUCACAAAAGAUUGCUCGAGAUUUCUUAGCUAUGCUUGUGUCUACGAAUGUAUCCAAGUCUGCUUUUAGUAUUGGUGGUAGAGUUCUUAGUGUUCAUCAAAGUAGACUUUGUCAGGAUACUUUGGAGGCGUUGAUGUGCUCACAAAAUUGGUUAUGUGCUGAAAGUGAAGGUAAUUGUAAAAUUGAACUCUUUUAAUUUUAUUUUCUUUAUUUUAAAUGUAAAGUUAACAAAUGUUUAAAAUGUUUUUUUUUUUCUCUCUCUUUUAAUGUUUAGCUUGUUCAACUGCGGAAUCAAGUUGUUUAUAUGAUGUCGACGAGGAUGUAGAUUAAAGUAAGCAUUUCACAAUUUUAAUAUGUGAAAUCUUGGACUUUGGAUAUUGGAACUUGAAGAUUAUGUUUCUAUGAAGUUUUAAGUAUUUUAGAUUAUUAGACAUUAGUGUUACGUUUAUGAGCUCUUUAUUUAUUACAAUUUGUAGUUAAAUUUUAAUGUGUUUGGUACAAUUUAUGAAGAACUUCUUUCUAUCAUGAUUAUGAUGAAUUUGAGCUCUAAUUCAUGUAUUAUACUUCUUUAAAUUAUGUAAAUUUU